rnacentral:rRNA from 1 species
GAUGAACGCUGGCGGCGUGCCUAAUACAUGCAAGUCGAGCGAAUGGAUUAAGAGCUUGCUCUUAUGAAGUUAGCGGCGGACGGGUGAGUAACACGUGGGUAACCUGCCCAUAAGACUGGGAUAACUCCGGGAAACCGGGGCUAAUACCGGAUAACAUUUUGAACCGCAUGGUUUGAAAUUGAAAGGCGGCUUCGGCUGUCACUUAUGGAUGGACCCGCGUCGCAUUAGCUAGUGGGUCAGGUAACGGCUGACCAAGGCAACGAUGCGUAGCCGACCUGAGACGGUGAUCGGCCACGCUGGGACUGAGACACGGCCCAGACUCCUACGCGAGGCAGCAGUAGGGAAUCUUCCGCAAUGGACGAAAGUCUGACGGAGCAACGCCGCGUGAGUGAUGAAGGCUUUCGGGUCGUACAACUCUGUUGUUAGGGAAGAACAAGUGCUAGUUGAAUAAGCUGGCACCUUGACGGUACCUAACCAGAAAGCCACGGCUAACUACGUGCCAGCAGCCGCAGUAA